UGACGAGGCCAGUGGCAAUAUGGAGCAGU
rnacentral:piRNA from 1 species